UGAACGCUGGCGGCGUGCCUAAUACAUGCAAGUCGAGCGAACGGACGCGAAGCUUGCUUCUCUGAUGUUAGCGGCGGACGGGUGAGUAACACGUGGAUAACCUACCUAUAAGACUGGGAUAACUUCGGGAAACCGGAGCUAAUACCGGAUAAUAUUUUGAACCGCAUGGUUCAAAAGUGAAAGACGGUCUUGCUGUCACUUAUAGAUGGAUCCGCGCUGCAUUAGCUAGUUGGUAAGGUAACGGCUACCAAGGCAACGAUGCAUAGCCGACCUGAGAGGGUGAUCGGCCACACUGGAACUGAGACACGGUCCAGACUCCUACGGGAGGCAGCAGUAGGGAAUCUUCCGCAAUGGGCGAAAGCCUGACGGAGCAACGCCGCGUGAGUGAUGAAGGUCUUCGGAUCGUAAAACUCUGUUAUUAGGGAAGAACAUAUGUGUAAGUAACUGUGCACAUCUUGACGGUACCUAAUCAGAAAGCCACGGCUAACUACGUG
rnacentral:rRNA from 1 species